CAAUGGGCCUACGCACACACACAUUAGUGACAUCACCGUAAUCCUAGAUUCAAUGUGGCAUUUUUCUCAUAUCUCCUUCCAUUGUGAAAAUGGAGUUGGAGGAGUCCAAGAAAUUGAGAAUUUUUGUCAAGGUCGAAGAGGAGAUUGAAUCAGUGAAAAUGACCACACAUGGUAAAUUGAAGAGGAGAGAAAGGAAACUUUUGUUUCUUGAUCAAGAAUCAUGAUCUGUUCAUUACUGAAUAUCCUUAUUUGAUUUUUGAGAUAUCUCAAAAAUUGGAAUCGGAUCAAGAUGAAAUUAACUAGAGUUGAGGAACGGGAUUGCUCGAACAAGCUUGACCAGUGAG
rnacentral:lncRNA from 1 species